CACGAACUGGGAAUGAAUUCACAACAGGGAGAGUUACGUCAAUUUCAUGCAGAUAAACAGGAAACUGAUACUAGUUAAGUGUUUGUAUAUUUGAUCUCCUUUUUAUUUUCAGGUAAGUCACUAUAAUUAGAAUGGUGUUUCAAGAAGAUCACUGGGUUCAGUGUCCAAUUAAUUAUGCAUGACACGAUGAAGUAGGUAAAGUCUAUGAUAGAUCACAUGAUGUUGUAGGUAAAGUCUAAAUUGAUAUAGAUGUGGCAACAGAGAAAGAAGAGCAGCAUGACUAUGUUGGUGUGGUGUCUUAUAGGCAGCAUUCAAAUCCCAUUUAGAGCAUCAUGACACAGCUAAAUCCAUGCAAUCCCGCUGUGGUCACAUCUUUGCACCAGUGAACUAAAACUUUCAUGAGGACCCCCAGGAGUCUUAUCAGUGUAACACAAAAAUAUAUAAUGUUAAAGCAUAAGGAAAAGCACAAGAACGGCACAAGUGUUCCAUGCUGUUUGUGAAAUGAGAAAACAACUAGACAGGAAUGACUGAAUCCUGAGCAAGCUUAGUUUUCCACAGGACAAUGACCAAUGGUUGUUCACUUUUUAUUCUUUGCUCAUCCAGGAUAUUUUACAGUUCAUGAAGAACAUAUGGCAUCACGUUAAGUGAGUUUGGAAGAUCUUACUGGAAUGAAGCAUGUCUAUGAUUAAUCAAGUUGGGACAUAUCCACCCAACUUUCCCAUAUACUGUAUUUCAUUUUCAGACUUUGUCACCUGAAAAGACGUAUGUAUGCUUCUCUACGUCUCAAAACUGUGACUAUGUGCUGCAUGCUGAACGACACUACCUACGACUUCUAUCCACUACAGUAGUCAUUGUAGUGUUUGGGAUCCCUAUGGAUUUGCUUUAUUGCAGGCAGAUGCAAUAAAGCAGAACUUUCCCACAGGAAUUAUGAUACUCUUUAUGGGAUAAGAAGUGGCUCUUCAGAUGCAUAGAUAUGGAGGCUUAUGACUGUCUCUAUGCUCUGGUUUAUUCAUAUAUGAAGGAACACAAGCAUGUAAGCCCACCCUGCCUGGAUGUGGUGAAGUUUAAACACAUUUUUGUAGAUAAACUGUAUUCUGAUUUUUCAAUUUACAAACUUAUCACUAGAAAUUGGGUUGGGUAGUUGGGAUGUUUUUCUUUGGGAAAAAAUUUAGAUAUGACUUGGUGAACAAAUCCCCUAAAUAACUAAAGGAAUCAUAAUUGAACAUGACAACCAUAGACACAUGGCCAUGAUUUGUUAUUUGGGAUAUCACUUUCUUUAAAAUCAAAACAAAAAUAUAAAAACCUGUAAUUCUCACUAUCUUAGAUCACAGUGGUCCAUCACAAAAGACAACCAGUAUUCAUACAAUUCCCACCUAAAAUGUGUCUUAGAGAGUGAGUCUAUAGUACAUACCACAUCUGCGUCUUUUAAAUAUCAUCUGUAAUUGAAAGGAAAAAAAUUAGAUCAUGUUGAAUAAUGUC